GAUGAACGCUGGCGGCGUGCCUAAUACAUGCAAGUCGAGCGAACAGACGAUGAGCUUGCUCCUCUGAUGUUAGCGGCGGACGUGUGAGUAACACGUGGAUAACCUACCUAUAAGACUGGGAUAACUUCGGGAAACCGGAGCUAAUACCGGAUAACAUGUUGAACCGCAUGGUUCAACAGUGAAAGACGGUCUUUCUGUCACUUAUAGAUGGAUCCGCGCCGCAUUAUCUAGUUGGUAAGGUAACGGCUUACCAAGGCAACGAUGCGUAGCCGACCUGAGAGGGUGAUCGGCGACACUGGAAGUGAGACACGGUCCAGACAACUACGGGAGGCAGCAGUAGGGAAUAUUCCGCAAUGGGCGAAAGCAUGACGGAGCAACGCCGCGUGAGUGAAGAAGGUCUUCGGAUCGUAAAACUCUGUUAUUAGGGAAGAAAAAAUGUGUAAGUAAAUAUGAACGUAUUGACGGUACCUAAUCAGAAAGGAACGGCUAACUACGUG
rnacentral:rRNA from 1 species